rnacentral:rRNA from 1 species
CCUACGGGGGGCUGCAGUGGGGAAUAUUGGACAAUGGGGGCAACCCUGAUCCAGCCAUGCCGCGUGUGUGAAGAAGGCCCUCGGGUUGUAAAGCACUUUCAGUGAGGAAGAACGCCUGGUGGUUAAUACCCAUCAGGAAAGACAUCACUCACAGAAGAAGCACCGGCUAACUCCGUGCCAGCAGCCGCGGUAAUACGGAGGGUGCGAGCGUUAAUCGGAAUUACUGGGCGUAAAGCGCGCGUAGGUGGCUUGAUAAGUCGGUUGUGAAAGCCCCGGGCUCAACCUGGGAACGGCAUCCGGAACUGUCAAGCUAGAGUGCAGGAGAGGAAGGUAGAAUUCCCGGUGUAGCGGUGAAAUGCGUAGAGAUCGGGAGGAAUACCAGUGGCGAAGGCGGCCUUCUGGACUGACACUGACACUGAGGUGCGAAAGCGUGGGUAGCAAACAGGAUUAGAUACCCUGGUAGUC